rnacentral:rRNA from 1 species
CCACCGGCUUACUUCGUGCCAACAGCCUCGGUAAUACUAAGGGUGCAAGCGUUAGUCGGAAUUACUGGGCGUAAAGCACGCGUAAGUGGUUUGUUAAGUUGAAUGUGAAAGCCCCGGGCUCAACCUGGGAACUGCAUCCAAAACUGGCAAGCUUCAGUAUGGCAGAGGGUGGUGGAAUUUCCUGUGUAGCGGUGAAAUGCGUAAAUGUAAGAAGGAACACCAGUGGCGAAGGCGACCACCUGGGCUAAUACUGACACUGAGGUGCGAAAGCCUGGGGAGCAAACAGGAUUAGAUACCCUGGUAGUCCACGCCGGAAACGAUGUCGACUAGCCGUUGGGAUCCUUGAGAUCUUAGUGGCGCAGCUAACGCAUUAAGUCGACCGCCUGGGGAGUACGGCCGCAAGGUUAAAACUCAAAUGAAUUGACGG